rnacentral:lncRNA from 1 species
AUGAUGAUACUUCUCUUGUGGUCAAUAAUUUUCAUGACCAUUCUCUUCUUAAAAAAAAAGUUGAGUGGGAAGAAAGGUAAGACACCUCCGUCACCACCGGGACUUCCGUUGAUCGGAAACCUUCAUCAGCUCGGCCGUCACACUCACCGAUCACUAUGCUCUCUCAGUCGCCGUUACGGUCCUCUUAUGCUCCUUCACUUAGGCCGUGUCCCCGUUCUUAUAGUCUCUUCCGCGGACAUGGCUCAAGAAAUCUUGAAGACGCACGACCAAGCUUUCGCAAACCGCCCACGGUCAAAACUCUCCCAGAAGCUUCUUUACAACAAUCGCGAUGUGGCCUCAGCUCCUUAUGGAGAGUAUUGGAGGCAAAUGAAGGCUGUGUGCACCAUUCAUCUCUUAAGCAACAAAAUGGUACGAUCUUUUCGAGAUGUAAGAGAAGAAGAAAUCACUUUGAUGAUGGAGAAAAUCCGGAAAUCGAGUUCUUUGCCGUUUAAUGUAAGCAAGGUCUUGGAGAGUUUAACUAACGAUGUGAUAUGUAGAGUGGCUUUAGGACGGAAAUAUGGUGGUGAAACUGACUUUAAGAAAUUAACGGAUAGACUAAGCGAGCUAUUGGGGACGUUUAGUAUAGGGAGUUUUGUACCGUGGCUUGCGUGGAUUGAUUGGAUCCGCGGUUGGGAUGCUCAGCUAGAUAAGAUGGGAAAGGAUCUUGAUGACUUCUUUGAGAAAGUUGUGCAAGAUCAUGAAGAUGGCGACAACCGAGAUAGGUUUGACUUGAUCGAUGCAUUGCUCAAAGUUAAAAGAGAGAAGAGUCCCGGGUUUGAGAUAGAGCGAGUCAGCAUAAAGGCAAUCACGUUGGUAAGGAACAAUACACACUUUUGGAUGAUACCAAUCAGAUUUUAUGAUGUUUUAGCAUAUGUAACUGUAGUUCUUGUUAUUUUUUUGUUUUCAGGAUGUUUUUGUGGGUGGUUCCGACACAUCGUUCACGCUUUUGGAAUGGGCAAUGACAGAGCUUCUACGUCACCCAGAGAGUCUGAAAAGACUCCAAGAAGAAGUGCGUACGAUUUGUAAGGGCAAAUCAAGUGUAUCAGAAGAUGACAUUAAAGAAAUGAAAUACUUAAAAGCUGUCAUCAAAGAGGCACUCAGGCUACAUCCUCCAUUUCCAAUGAUGGCUCCUCAUGAAUCAACAGAAGAUGUCAAAUUAAGAGACUACCACAUACCUGCCGGUACACAAGUGAUGAUGAAUGCUUGGGCCAUCGGGAGAGAGGUUGCGACAUGGGGACCAGACGCGGAGGAGUUUAAACCGGAGCGGCAUUUAGAUACGUCUGUUGAUUUCCGAGGUCAGAACUUUGAGCUGCUUCCAUUUGGAGCAGGGAGAAGGAUUUGUCCAGCAGUAUCAUUCGCUGUGGUAUUGAAUGAGGUGGUUUUGGCUAACUUAGUGCACGGGUUUAAUUGGAAAUUACCGGAGGAAUCUAAAGAAGACAAAACCGAUGUCGCUGAAUCCAGCGGUUUUUCGGUUCACCGCGAGUUCCCUCUUUAUGCCAUUGCAUCACCUUACUUGACCUAGGCAUUUAUAUAUAUAUAUAUAUAUUAAUGCUUUGUUAUGUUAUGUUGUGGAUUUGUUCUGAUUUCUCGCCAUGGGUUCUGGUUUUUUUUGCUUUUCUUCUCUAAGUUGUUUUCGUUAAUUGUUAUGUGAUUUUAGUUAUUUUAAUCAAUCAUCUUGCUUUCUCGCUCUCAUAAGUAACGUAGUUCUAUGACUUCAAGAUAUUGCUAUUUUACUACUCUUGUUUUCAGAAAUGUCAAGGUUGUAGACGCGAUAUACUACGUGACAACUGGCAACCAUGGCAUGAACAUCUAGGUUCUAUGGGGUAUACUCAUUGUAAUACGAAAUAUCAUGAGUGAUUUAAAUGUUCUUGGUGGAUAUGAGGUCUUGCAAAAAUGUGAAUAAUGUUGUUCCAAUGGAUUUUUCAUUUUUUAGUGGAUGUUUAUAAAUUGUGAUGUUGUUUUUUUGUAUGAACUUUUACGAGCUUAUGUGACUAGUAACCUAGUAUAUGUUCUAAGUCAUUUCUGACUAGUAUGUUCUAAGUCAUAUUCUUUUGAAGAUUGUUAGACCACCAUUAUUGGUGGUAUCUUAACUAUUUCUUAGCUAAAUCUUAGCUAAAAAAUUAAAGAAAAAUCUUAUUAAAGACUAAGAUCCAAAAUUAAAGUGGCUUAGCUAAGAUCCAAAUUUAACAUUAAGAUCCAUUUUUAAGAACCAUUUUUAAAUUUAUUAUUUUAAUACUCUUAAGAACCAUUUUUAAGCAACCCUUGUUAAUCAUGCUCUAAUACGUAUAGAUAUGAUAUGACUAUAGAGAAAUCUUCAUGGAAGGUGCGAUCCAUUGUGCUUGUUCAUCAAACGUAUGUAAUUAGUUAAGCAUUUAUUAUGAAAUCGACGAUUAAAUAGCGUUAUCGGUCAAAAUUCCUAGAGCAAAGCUACCUGUGCUAGAGGUUACGUCUUUUUUUUUCUCUUAAGUUCGAGAAAACGUUUUGUGAAAUUUGUAGUGUGUUACCAUUCUUGUCCAAUUUUUUUUUUCUUAUGAAGAUGAUAAAAAGAUCAAUAUGCUCACUCCACCGAAACCAUGUUUAUUUCUUUGAAACGGAAAAAAUGUUGGAAAUGAACUUUAUAUUUAAAAAAAAAUUAAGAGAAUGCAAUAUGUUUUCUAAUAACCACCAAACUAACCACAUGAUGAAUAAAUAUGCCCUGCAUGCUGCUAUCACAAUUCACAAAUCUAUGUGACAAUAAUGCACAUGCGUUAGAAAUGCCAUAAAUCCUUAGGCAUGUACGUAAUUAAAGGAUUGAAAACCCCACUGUCCUACUACAAAUAGAAUAAUCUCACAUGCAAGCCGCUACAAUUGACAUCUAAGUUAGGUCUCAAGGAAAAUUCAAUAUUGCCCACAUGACUCGAUUUUUUUUUUUCGUUGUUAUGUUUGUUACGCUAAAUAAUUUUAAUUCACGUCCACAAUUUCGUUCACUUAGGCACUUAAUUGGCAUCAACUAAAUAAAAGCUUGGGCUAAUUAGUGGAGGGAAAGACAAGGGCAAUGUAGUGUUUAUAAAACAUGUGAAACUGUCUAUUAUUCUUGCAAAAAUCAAUAUAUCCCUUUAAUAAUUUUUUUUUCCCUUUAAUAAUUGAUAUCCUUCAUCAGCUCGGCCUUCGCGUGGAUACGGAGCUGGUCCCGUUUGGAGCAGGGAGAAGGAUUUGCCCAGCAAUAUCAUUUGCUGUGUUAUUGGAUGAGGUGGUUUUGGCUAACUUAGUGCAUCAGUUUGAUUGGAGACUACCAGCCGGACCAAUGAAUUUUGGGGCCCUAAUAAAAUUAAGAAAAAAAUAAUAUCAUAAUUUUCAUAAUAUUAAAAAUUAUAAAGUAAAAAUAAUCAAUUUAAAUGAAACUAUUAUUUUAAAAAACAUAUUACAAUUAUAUCCUUUAAAAAGGAAAUAAUAACUUAAAUCUUAUGAAAAUUAAUUUUUUUAUGGGUUUUUUUCAAAAAUUAUUUAUCAAAUUUGCUGUUUUUUCCUCAUAUUUACAACAAUUUAUAUAUAUGUAUAACUAAAAAAACAUUUAAGUAGGCCUCUCUAAAGUGGAACCCCAUUAGAAUGUUUCAUCACCAUGUGCUCAAGUCCGGCUCUGACUACCAGUGGAAUCUACAGAAUAUCAGACCGAUGUCGCUGAAUCAACAGGCAUUGCGGUUCACCGCAUGUUCCCACUCUUCGCCAUCGCAUCACCUACUACUUGAUUUAGACAUUAUAUAUAUAUGCUUUGUUAGAAAUGUACAAUAAGCAUGUCACUGGUAAAGAGAUCUUUAAGAUUUGAGUUCUUAAGUAACUACACUAAUUUGACCCCAAAAAAAUAACUACACUAGUUAAGAAAUCCAAGUGAGCAUAAUCAGCUCCCUGGCAAUUGUCAAAGGAACAUAACAGACUGAUGUUUCCCUCUCAAUUAUGCUCAGUAUAUGUUCCACUGUAGACAUAAAUGAGUGAAUAUAAGAUAUAGAUAGAGACCAUGCAUGCAAAACUUUUUUUUUUUUAAAUAGUAAUCAUUUAGAUAUUUUUAGGGUGGAAUCAGAUUAAAACUUUUGGAACUUUAGAUAUCUUUCCGAUCUUGUAAACUUUUUAAAGAUUUUUAUGUUCCUAUUUUAAGACGAUAUAUAAAAAAUUUGAAAAAAAUGGAAUAUAUCAACCCUAAAUCACCGUAUAAUUUAGAAAAACACAUAUUGUUGAUAUCCAUAUAUAAUUACUGUUUUGUGAGUGAUGUCAUUGAUUGCUGUGGAGAGAAUGUAGAUAAGAAACCCUGAUCUUCAAAGAGAACUUGUACAUCAAGUUCUUAUUCAAACUAGACGGCACUUUAUAAUAUUCAACGUAUAAAAGUCAUUUUCGAGAGGAAUAAUAUUUCAUCGAAUUUUAUUAUUCAUGUUAGGCAGAAAAUAACAAAAUUUUAAUUGACACUAGUAGGUUUUGGUCGUCCCUGGAUAAACUUGGCUUUAUACAUAAAGUCCAAAAGAGGCACACAAUACAAUCUCGAAAAACUUGGCUUGGACAGUAUCUUUGGUCUCUGGAGAAACUUGGCUUUGUAUAUAAAGUCCAAACGAGGAACACAAAAAUCUUUAAAACUCUUUACAAGAAAAAUCUUCAAGAACUUGAAGAAUCAAAACAUGGAAAUGAUGUUCAUGAUACUUCUCAUGUGCUCAAUAAUCUUUAUUACCACUCUCUUCUUCAUAAACCAAAAUUCAAGGAAGAAAAGCAACACACCUCCGUCACCACCGAGACUUCCUUUGAUAGGAAACCUUCACCAGCUCGGCCGUCACCCUCACCGAUCACUAUGCUCUCUCAGCCACCGUUAUGGUCCUCUUAUGCUCCUCCACUUGGGCCGUGUCCCGGUUCUUGUAGUCUCUUCCGCUGACGUGGCUCGAGACGUUUUGAAGACGCAUGAUCGAGUUUUUGCUAGCCGUCCAUGGUCUAAAAAUACCGAGAAGCUUCUUUACGACGGGCGUGAUGUGGCCUUAGCUCCUUAUGGAGAGUACUGGAGGCAAAUGAAGAGUGUGUGCGUCCUCAGUUUGCUAAGCAACAAAAUGGUACGAUCCUUUCGAGAUGUGAGACAACAAGAGAUCAGUCUUAUGAUGGAGAAGAUCGGGCAAUCGAGUUCUUUGCAGGUGAAUCUGAGCGAGAUAUUGGCGAGUUUAACGAAUGAUGUGAUAUGUAGGAUUGCUUUGGGACGGAAAUAUGGCGGUGAAACAGAUUUUAAGGAGUUAAUGAAGAGGCUUACAAGGCUUUUAGGGGCGGUUAGUGUGGGAAAUCAUGUACCAUGGCUUUCAUGGAUUGAUUGGCUCUGCGGUUUGGAUGGUCAGCUAGAAAAGACGAGAAAUGAUCUUGAUGAGUUUCUUGAGAGAGUUGUGCAAGAUCAUGUAGAUGUCAACGGAGAUAGCACUGAUUUCGUUGAUGUAUUGCUCGCCAUUCAGAGAGAGAAGAGUGUGGGGUUUGAGAUCGACCGCGUCAGCAUAAAGGCAAUCAUCUUGGUAAAGGGGGAAAACAAGAAAAUAAAUUCAUAUUCAAUGAUGUUUUAGCAUGCAUAAAACUGUAGUUCUUGUUUUGGUUUUCAGGAUAUUUUUGUGGGUGGUACGGACACAUCGUACACACUUAUGGAAUGGGUAAUGACAGAGCUUUUACAUCACCCAGAGUGUCUGAAGAGACUUCAAGAAGAAGUCCGUACGAUUUGUAAGGGCAAAUCAAGUGUAUCAGAAGAAGACAUUAAAGACAUGAACUACUUAAAAGCUGUGAUCAAAGAGACAUUGAGGCUACAUCCUCCACUUCCAUUGAUGGUUCCUCAUGAAUCAACACAAGAUGUUAAAUUAAGAGACUACCACAUACCAGCCGGAACAGUGGUUAUGAUCAAUGCAUGGGCGAUCGGGAGAGAGGCUGCGACAUGGGGACCAGACCCGGAGGAGUUUAGACCGGAGAGACAUUUCAAUUCUUCUGUUGAUUUCCGGGGUCAGGAUUUUGAGCUGAUUCCGUUUGGGGCAGGGAGAAGAAUAUGCCCGGCAAUAUCAUUUGCUGUGGUAUUGAAUGAAGAAGUUUUGGCUAACUUAGUGCAUCGGUUUGAUUGGAGACUACCGGAUGAAUCUACGGAAGAUCAAACAGGUGUUGUUGCUGAAUCAACCGGAGUUGCCAUUCACCGCAUGUUCCCUCUUUAUGCUAUUGCAUCAUCUACUACUUGACUAAGGCUUUAUAUUAUGUUACUAGAUUAGGACCCGUUUGAUAUAUGGGUUAAUCAAUAAAUGUUUUUAUAAAGUUUAAUAAGUUUUUUUGCAGUUGUAUCCGAAUAUUUAUAGGCUACGAAAGUACCUAUAAGAUAUGGUGAAAUGAAAGGAAGAGUUUGAUUACAAAAGCUUGUCUAAAAGACUUGAGGUACAACUAGACAAUCUAAUUGAGAAAAAUGAAAGGCAGUAAAAAGCUUUGUUGAUGAAAUCGAAAUCAUAACCAAAUUUCCGAGGCUGAAAAGAGAUAUGCCAAUGCCUUAGAGGUGAGUUACUUUUUGGUGUGUUUUUACAGAUUUCUUCAAAGUUAUUAGCGUUGAUAUUUAAAUACUCUAGUUAACAUUUAUCAAAAAAUAGGUGAUAGAAUCACACCUAAAAUUUGAAAAGUUAUUUCGAAUAUACAAAUAAGGACUAUAUCUUUUAGGAGAUAAAUAGUUUUUGUGGACCUUGUAUACCUAUUAAAAAAUCUAACGAAAUAGGUAUCUCAAAAAUUACAAAAGUAAAAGAUGUUUUUUUUGUUUGGUCAACUUAAUAUGGAGAGAUUUUUUACCUUUAAUAUAUAGGAUUUGAGAGAAUCUAUUUAAAUCAAAUUUAUUUUCCUAUUUAGGGAAAACAGAAGAAAAUUUGAGUGGACACUAGUUACGUAACGCAUAGAAGAAAUUUGGCUUAUAUAUGACCCAAGUGGCCAAGUCCACAAGAAGAACACAAAAAGAUUAAGAAACUCUUCACGAGAAAAACUUGAAGAAUCCCAAUUUACAAAAUAUGAUCAUGAUACUUUUCUUAUGCUUAGUAUUGUUCAUAGCCAUUCUCUUCUUCAAAAAACAGAAGACAUCGAUCACAUUUCCAUCCCCACCGAGACUACCGUUGAUCGGAAACCUUCAUCAGCUCGGCCAACAUCCUCACCGAUCACUAUGCUAUCUCAGCCACCGUUACGGUCCUCUCAUGCUCCUCCACUUCGGAAGUGUCCCCGUU